CGAUUUGCCUGCUAGUCGUACGGGUUAGACCCGUGGCAGAUAGCUCAGUACCCCUUGGCCAAUCUACCCUGUAGCCCCUGACAUCCUCGGGAAACUGAGGCCAAUCGGGGAUACGAGUCUCACGCUGGAACCGCCGAGACUCCCAAACGGUCCGCCGCUACAGGAUGAGGCUGCGGCCGAUUAGGUUGACGGUGGGGUAACGGCCCACCGUGCCGAUAAUCGGUACGGGGUGUGAGAGCACGAGCCCGGAGACGGAAUCUGAGACAAGAUUCCGGGCCCUACGGGGCGCAGCAGGCGCGAAACCUUUACACUGCACGCACGUGCGAUAAGGGGACUCCGAGUGCGAGGGCAUAUCGUCCUCGCUUUUGUCGACCGUAAGGUGGUCGACGAAUAAGGGCUGGGCAAGACCGGUGCCAGCCGCCGCGGUAAUACCGGCAGCCCGAGUGAUGGCCGAUCUUAUUGGGCCUAAAGCGUCCGUAGCCGGCCUGGCAGGUCCGUCGGGAAAUCCAGCCGCCCAACGGCUGGGCGACCGGCGGAACCCGCCAGGCUUGGGACCGGAAGAUUCGAGGGGUACGUCCGGGGUAGGAGUGAAAUCUUGUAAUCCUGGACGGACCACCGAUGGCGAAAGCAC
rnacentral:rRNA from 1 species